UACGGGGGGAGCAAGCGUUGUUCGGAUUUACUGGGCGUAAAGGGCGCGUAGGCGGCCACCGCAAGUCGACUGUGAAAUCUCCGGGCUUAACCCGGAAAGGUCAGCCGAUACUGCGGGGCUAGAGUGCAGAAGGGGCAACUGGAAUUCUCGGUGUAGCGGUGAAACGCGUAGAUAUCGAGAGGAACACCUGCGGCGAAGGCGGGUUGCUGGGCCGAUACUGACGCUGAGGAGCGAAAGCGUGGGGAGCAAACAGG
rnacentral:rRNA from 1 species